UCCGUAGCUUAGCAGUAAAGAAUCUGCCUGCAAUGCAGGAGACCCAGGUUCAGUCCCUGGGUCCGGAA
rnacentral:tRNA from 1 species